UACAUGUGGGGCAAGCGUUGUUCGGAAUUACUGGGCAUAAAGGGUGCGUAGGUGGCUUGUUAAGUCAGGGGUGAAAGUUUUCGGCCCAACCGGAAAAUGGCCUUUGAUACUGGCGAGCUCGAGUGCGUGAGGGGUAACCGGAACGAGCAGUGUAGCGGUGAAAUGCGUAGAUAUUGCUCGGAAGGCCAACGGCGAAGGCAGGUUACUGGUGCGCAACUGACACUGAGGUACGAAAGCGUGGGGAGCAAACAGG
rnacentral:rRNA from 1 species